AUUGAACGCUGGCGGCAGGCUUAACACAUGCAAGUCGAGCGGGGUGAUGGUGCUUGCACUAUCACUUAGCGGCGGACGGGUGAGUAAUGCUUAGGAAUCUGCCUAUUAGUGGGGGACAACAUCUCGAAAGGGAUGCUAAUACCGCAUACGUUCUACGAGAGAAAGCAGGGGAGCACUUGUGACCUUGCGCUAAUAGAUGAGCAUAAGUCGGGUUAGCUAGUUGGUGGGGUAAAAGCCUACCAAGGCGACGAUCUGUAGCGGGUCUGAGAGGAUGAUCCGCCACACUGGGACUGAGACACGGCCCAGACUCCUACGGGAGGCAGCAGUGGGGAAUAUUGGACAAUGGGGGGAACCCUGAUCCAGCCAUGCCGCGUGUGUGAAGAAGGCCUUAUGGUUGUAAAGCACUUUAAGCGAGGAGGAGGCUCUUUUGGUUAAUACCCAGAAUGAGUGGACGUUACUCGCAGAAUAAGCACCGGCUAACUCUGUGCCAGCAGCCGCGGUAA
rnacentral:rRNA from 1 species